GAUGAACGCUGGCGGCGUGCUUAACACAUGCAAGUCGAACGGAAAGGCUCCUACUUUCCGGGGUUCUCGAUUGGCGAACGGGUGAGUAACACGUGUGUGAACUGCCCUUCACUUCGGGAUAAGCCUUGGGAACUGGGGCUAAUACCGGAUAGGACGUAUUUAUGGAUGUCAUUCUUGAGAGUUUUUGCGGUUUGGGAUCAGCUCUCGGCUUAUCAGCUAGUUGGUGGGGUAUUGGCAUACGAAGGCGUAGACGGGUCGCCGGCCUGAGAGGGUGUACGGCGACAUUGGGACUGAGAUACGGCGCAGAAUCCUACGGGAGGCAGCGGUGGAGAAUAUUGCACAAUGGGGGCAAGCCUGAUGCAGAGACGCCGGAUGCGGGAUGACGGCCUUCGGGUUGUAAACAACUUUCGCAGGAGACGAAGCGCAAGUGACGGUACCUGGAGAAGAAGCACCGGCUAACUACGUG
rnacentral:rRNA from 1 species